GACGAACGCUGGCGGCGUGCUUAACACAUGCAAGUCGAACGGAAAGGCCCUGCUUUUGUGGGGUGCUCGAGUGGCGAACGGGUGAGUAACACGUGAGUAACCUGCCCUUGACUUUGGGAUAACUUCAGGAAACUGGGGCUAAUACCGGAUAGGAGCUCCUGCUGCAUGGUGGGGGUUGGAAAGUUUCGGCGGUUGGGGAUGGACUCGCGGCUUAUCAGCUUGUUGGUGGGGUAGUGGCUUACCAAGGCUUUGACGGGUAGCCGGCCUGAGAGGGUGACCGGCCACAUUGGGACUGAGAUACGGCCCAGACUCCUACGGGAGGCAGCAGUGGGGAAUAUUGCACAAUGGGCGGAAGCCUGAUGCAGCAACGCCGCGUGCUGGAUGACGGCCUUCGGGUUGUAAACCGCUUUCGCCUGUGACGAAGCGUGAGUGACGGUAAUGGGUAAAGAAGCACCGGCUAACUACGU
rnacentral:rRNA from 1 species